AGUCGAGCGGAUGAGUGGAGCUUGCUCCAUGAUUCAGCGGCGGACGGGUGAGUAAUGCCUAGGAAUCUGCCUGGUAGUGGGGGACAACGUUUCAAAGGAACGCUAAUACCGCACACGUCCUACGGGAGAAAGUGGGGGAUCUUCGGACCUCACGCUAUCAGAUGAGCCUAGGUCGGAUUAGCUAGUUGGUGAGGUAAAGGCUCACCAAGGCGACGAUCCGUAACUGGUCUGAGAGGAUGAUCAGUCACACUGGAACUGAGACACGGUCCAGACUCCUACGGGAGGCAGCAGUGGGGAAUAUUGGACAAUGGGCGAAAGCCUGAUCCAGCCAUGCCGCGUGUGUGAAGAAGGUCUUCGGAUUGUAAAGCACUUUAAGUUGGGAGGAAGGGCAGUAAGUUAAUACCUUGCUGUUUUGACGUUACCAACAGAAUAAGCACCGGCUAACUUCGUGCCAGCAGCCGCGGUAAUACGAAGGGUGCAAGCGUUAAUCGGAAUUACUGGGCGUAAAGGUCGCGUACGUAGUUCGUUAAGUUGGAUGUGAAAGCCCCGGGCUCAACCUGGGAACUGCAUCCAAAACUGGCGAGCUAGAGUAUGGCAGAGGGUGGUGGAAUUUCCUGUGUAGCGGUGAAAUGCGUAGAUAUAUGAAGGAACGCCAGUGGCGAAGGCGACCACCUGGGCUAAUACUGACACUGAGGUGCGAAAGCGUGGGGAGCAAACACGAUUAGAUACCCUGGUAGUCCACGCCGUAAACGAUGUCGACUAGCCGUUGGGAUCCUUGAUAUCUUAGUGGCGCAGCUAACGCAUUAAGUCGACCGCCUGGGGAGUACG
rnacentral:rRNA from 1 species